CAUUGUUUUUUAAAUAAAUCUAAUACUUGGAAAAGCAAAGAAUAAGACCAGACAAGGAGGACAUUCCUGGUGUCUGACAGAAGGAUUAUCUGGAAUCCCAAACCUGGUUUAUGUCUGAUUCUGAUCAAGUCAGCCACAUCAGAAAAAAGUUUUAAAAAUAUGUUUCAAUGCACAGCAAACACAGCCACUUUGGAUGAAUAUCACAGCCUCCUUUGCUAAGG